rnacentral:rRNA from 1 species
AUUGAACGCUGGCGGCAUGCCUUACACAUGCAAGUCGAACGGCAGCACGGGGCAACCUGGUGGCGAGUGGCGAACGGGUGAGUAAUGCAUCGGAACGUACCUUUCAGUGGGGGAUCACGUAGCGAAAGUUACGCUAAUACCGCAUAUUCUGUGAGCAGGAAAGCAGGGGAUCGCAAGACCUUGCGAUGAUUUAGCGGCCGAUGUCAGAUUAGCUAGUGUGUGAGGUAAAGGCUCACCAAGGCGACUAUCUGCAGCGGGUCUGAGAGGAUGAUCCGCCACACUGGUACUGAGACACGGUCCAGACUCCUACGGGAGGCAGCAGUGGGGAAUAUUGGACAAUGUGGGCAACCCUGAUCCACCAAUGCCGCGUGAAAGAAGAAGGCCUUCGGGUUGUAAAGCUCUUUCGGCCGGGAAGAAAUCGCACGGGCUAAUACCCUGUGUGGAUGACGGUACCGGAAUAAGAAGCACCGGCUAACUACGUGCCAGCCGCCGCAGUAAUAC